AUGAAGGCCAUCACCAGGGCUCUCUGCACUCGCCUUCAGCGGCACAUCCACUCCCUAGUGGACCCGGACCAGACAGGCUUCCUUCCCAGGAGGCGCAUUUCCCAGAACAUCGUCUACGCUGCCGACCUUCUCCGGGCCUGCCACUUGCGCAAGGUCCCCACUGUGGUUUUCAAAAUUGACUUCCGCAAAGCUUUUGACUCUAUCAACUGGUCGAGCCUCCUCCUGAUCUUGUCCGCGCGUGGGUUUAGUGACCGCUUGUGUGAUUGGAUCCAGGCCAUCUUGUCCACUGGCCAUACAUCUGUCCUUCUCAACAACACUCCGGGGGACUGGAUCCUUUGCCGAAAUGGCCUUCGCCAAGGCGACGCCCUUUCUCCCUAUCUUUUUAUCAUUGUGGCCGACGUUUUGCAGCGCAUGAUC
rnacentral:rRNA from 1 species